CUUUGCACCAGAAAGUGAUCUUGGCUGUCUGUUUCCCAGUCAUUGGUAGUGCAAGGAAAGAAUACUGAAAAUCAUGUUUCCCAAGUUUGAGGACAUCCAGCCUGACUCCUCCAAAGCCUGGAGUUUUCAUACA
ensembl:snoRNA SNORA71 Small nucleolar RNA SNORA71